rnacentral:siRNA from 1 species
UAGAUGAGUACCCGCAUUACGUGC